CCCAGACUGAUCCUUUGCAUGGAUUUUGCUGCGCCUGUUUCCAAGGCUUAGAGCUCUUUAGGAGGUCUUGUUAUAAAUAUUCAGAUGUACAGAUUUUUAAUGAAGAGUUCGGUGGAUGCAUUCUAGAGGAUAAAUGGUCUGUGAAUGGAAACUUUUCUUCCUCAGAGUACAUCAACGUAGCAAUUGCUUGUAUGAAAAACUCUCCGAGACUCAAAUAAAGAGCAGCAGGAUGAGCUCCAAGGCCAGUAAGCCACUUGUAAAUACAAGUGGGCAUAGCAGCUCACAGAAGGCAGCCCAGUAUUUGUGCUGUUCUAAAGGCAUUGGGAACCAGCCAGCAGCUGAGCAGCAGCUAUUUGCAGAACUUGAAGAUCUGCUCUUCCUUCUGCUUCUCUGCAAUUUGUCUCCAUUCCUAGACACCUGGUUCACACCCCCCAUACUCUGAUGAGCCACUCUUGGGCUACCGUUUCUUACAGCUGGCUGCUUUCAGCUGUUUCAAAUCUGGGCUGGAAUCACCUGGCUUUAAUUUAAGUAGCAAACAAAGGCAGCCUUCCCUAUGGGUGUGCUUUAGUUUCAUUGGGGUUGAGUUCCACAAAGAAGAAGUGCGCUGAGUGUGAUGCUUUAACAAAAGCAGCAUACGUCCUAACAAGAAAUAAGGUCCUCUGCUGCUUUCUUCAUAUUGCCAUGCUGUCUUCAAAGGGCGCAUGGACAUCCAGGAGAUGGAUGCUCUGCAAAGCACCUAUGCCUGCAGGGAAAGCCGAAGGCGAAGAGCUGUGUCCUGGUGGCUAUUGCUUCUGUAACAACCACUCAGAUGAGGACUUCCCACGUUUUCCUCAGUGCCCCCGUGCUGCAGCUCUUCUUCAGGCUGGAAUGGUUGGGGUUCCUUCUGCAUCCAUCUGAUGUAGUGGCAUCUCAAAGGCUUUGCGCAGGUGUCCCUUGCUCCCAAGAGGAUGCUAUCAGGGGACAGCAGUGUCCAUGUCAAAUGUACAGACCUGAGGGCCAAAGGGUAAUUAAAAACAUCAUGAAAGUAAUUUGGUCGCUGAACCUGCUGUGGGUCCUGGGCAUCUUAAGGAGCAAAUACCACCAUGGUUUUUUCCCCUCAGGAAUACAAGGCUAACAGGACAACAGCUCAUCUGUGCAAAGCCCUGACUGCUCUCAAUUUGAAAAAAGCCUGUAGCUGAAUCUGCUGCAGUUUUAUAACACAACCACUAUUAAUGUAGCUGUCCAAACAGUUUGUAGGUUAGGGAAAAGAGAAAACUGCAGUACCAGUUCAUUUGUAGGAAGAUCGGAGGAGCAGCACCAGUGCCAUGUCUACAUGCCUUGGAGGGACCUGCUGUGCCAUACAACCAGCACACUUCCUCUACUGAUAUAUAGAGAGUUUAUAUGCAUAUAUAGGUAUGCAUCAGUGUCACAAAGAUUGUAAAAGGAUGGGGGCGUCUAAUGCACUGGUGAUGCAGUGGCACAGCUGCGCUGGAGUGGUGGGGUCACCAUCCCUGGAGGUGUUUCAGAACCAUGGAGAUGUCGCACUGAGGGAUGUGGGCAGCGGGCAUGGUGAGCUGGGCUGGGGUUGGGCUCGGGGGUCUUGGAGAGCUUUUCCUGAAUGAUUCUGUGAGCCUAUGAUCUCUCAUAGAAGGACAGGCUGAGAGAGCUGCACUGCUCAGCCUGGAGAAGGCUCAGGGGGAUCCCAUCCACAUGUAUAAAUACCUGAUGGGGGCAAUAAGAUGGAACCAUUCUCUUCUCAGUGUUGCCCCAAUGAGGCAACAGGACAGGAAGCAAUGGACAAAGAUGAAAAUAAAACAAAAGUAACAAAAAAAUCCUACAAAAACAAACAAACAAACAAAAAAACAGCAAAAUCAAUCAGGAAAUUCCAUUUAAACAUAAGAAAAUCCUUCUUUAAAUUGCCACCUUGUUUGAACAUGGGAGCAGUUGCACAUUGAGGUGGUGGAUUCUCUGUCCCUGGAGAUGGACAACGCCAGGCUGGAAGCACUGGACAACCUGCUCCAACCAGCCCCGCUCUUUUUGGACCAGACAGUCUCUAGAGCUGCCUCCAGACUCAGUGCAUUUAUUUUAUGUUUCUGUAAUGAUUCUAUAAACUUUGUUUUUCCAAAAACGAUAGUGGGUUUAUCCUGCACAACUUUUAAAUCUGGUAGCUUGUUACAUUUUGUAGCUUCAUUUUGGUCCAUGGGAAGCAUAUUCCUGUGGAUGAAAGAGAUGCAGGGUUUAUUAAUCUGUCCAUUUUACAUUAACUAUCUGGGCAAAAUGAUAGGCAUUUCUUAUUUGAAACUUGUUAUAAAGAAACAUAUGGUCACGUACAUGAAGUGAGAAUAAUUUCAAGUUUGAAAUUCCAUCUAGACGCAGACAUGAAUACCCAAUAGCAACAAAGGAAAUUUGAAAGCAGUUUAGACUAAGCCUGGGGUAUAAUAAUCUGCAAAUGAAAUGCAAAUUCCUCUCAGCAGGAGUGCAAUAUGCUGUUGUCUCAACAGGGGUACUAUUUACUGUUGCUUUGGAAACGUGCAGGAGGGAAGCAUGGGCCAUUGCUUCGACAGAGGGUAAAGGCAGCUUGUACCUUUCUUCUGCUUGAAUUCCAAACCUGGCUUUUGGAAGUGGGCUGUUCACCCUAAUAGGAUGGGUUGUGCAAUAAUUAACAGUAAUUGCAUUCAUAUAAAGUCCUGUGGAAACCUCUGCUCACUCCUGGCCCUUCAUAUCACACAUCAGAACUGCCUUCCUGAUUCCCAACUUAACGCAGUCUUAGAGAUAUCCUCAUUGGGGAGCGAUGCUUAAACACUCCUACAUUCAUUAGAGCUGAACUAUCACUGUACUUCUGACAUCUCUCCAUUGCUGCUGGAUUGCUGGUAAGCAGCUUGACGGCUCUUUCAUCCACAAACAUUCCUCCCUUCAGCUGCUGGUACACAGCACUGUGCCUGGAAACCUUUCACACCUCCAUCUUUAUGGCCACAUAGAAGAAUCGUGUAACUAGAACUGCAAUCUGCAGCCGAUUGCAAUAGAAAAGGAAAUUAGUAUCCUGCAUUUAAUUAAUAUUUGUACUGAGAGAAUUGUUAAAAUCUAGCCAGCUGUUACCAUCCCUUUCAUUACUUUAAAUGUUGAUAACAUUUGUCUCAUACCAAAAAUACUUCAGCAACCAAAGCACUCAUGAAGACCGAUGGUGGAAAUUGAAAGAGAUUGUAUUUAUCACAGCAUCAAAGCUGCAAAUGCAGUGAGUGUGGAUGGGGGCGAGUUCUACUGUGCCAUACAACAGAAUCAGUACCAUUGCUCAGUGCUCCAAUAUUCUCAGAAAGAAAUGACUCCCAUGUUCAGAGAAACCAAACUUGUUUCUAAAGUGACAUAAAUUGUCAUUUCUUAAGUGAUCAGGCAAAAAAGUUAGAAGAAUAGUAACAACAAAAGACUGUCUGGAGAUACACUGUUGUUGUGUUUUAGUGAUUGUUGUUGUCAGUAUUUAACAUUAGAACAUCAUGCAGAACAAUGGCAGUUAAGGUUCUGGUUCCAUGUUACCGCCUUUUUGGGCAUUUUGUGUUCCCGGAGGGGAGGAGCGGCAUCCCCAGCGGACUUGGACAGAAGAGGAAGUAAGAUGGAGCUCUGGACUGGACCCCAGCCGCUCUCUGCCUCUGGCCGUCUUAGCCUGCCGUGGAGAAAAGCACGUGCUUCCCUAGCACUAUCGUGGUUUGACUCGUGCUUUAAAUACUCUCGGCUCUCUCAUUUUGUUUGAUUAAAUUUAGUAAAAUACCAUUCCUCCUCAG
ensembl:lncRNA